rnacentral:rRNA from 1 species
AUUGAACGCUGGCGGCAUGCCUUACACAUGCAAGUCGAACGGUAACAGGUCUUCGGAUGCUGACGAGUGGCGAACGGGUGAGUAAUACAUCGGAACGUGCCCGAUCGUGGGGGAUAACGAGGCGAAAGCUUUGCUAAUACCGCAUACGAUCUACGGAUGAAAGCGGGGGAUCUUCGGACCUCGCGCGGACGGAGCGGCCAAUGGCAGAUUAGGUAGUUGGUGGGAUAAAAGCUUACCAAGCCGACGAUCUGUAGCUGGUCUGAGAGGAUGAUCAGCCACACUGGGACUGAGACACGGCCCAGACUCCUACGGGAGGCAGCAGUGGGGAAUUUUGGACAAUGGGCGAAAGCCUGAUCCAGCCAUGCCGCGUGCAGGAUGAAGGCCUUCGGGUUGUAAACUGCUUUUGUACGGAACGAAAAGCCUCUUUCUAAUAAAGAGGGGUCAUGACGGUACCGUAAGAAUAAGCACCGGCUAACUACGUG